rnacentral:rRNA from 1 species
AAUUGGAGAGUUUGAUCCUGGCUCAGGACGAACGCUGGCGGCGUGCCUAAUACAUGCAAGUCGAGCGGAGUUAUUUUGAAAGCUUGCUUUCAA